UACAGAGGGUGCGAGCGUUGUCCGGAAUUACUGGGCGUAAAGGCGCGUAGGCGGCCCGAUAAGUAGGACGUGAAAUUCCGCGGCUCAACCGCGGAACUGCGUUCUAGACUGUCAGGCUUGAGCACGGUAGAGGCAGAUGGAAUUCCCGGUGUAGCGGUGGAAUGCGUAGAGAUCGGGAAGAACACCAGUGGCGAAGGCGGUCUGCUGGGCCGUUGCUGACGCUGAGGCGCGACAGCGUGGGGAGCAAACAGG
rnacentral:rRNA from 1 species